UCUAUCGGUGGGGCCUGUUGGGUUCAGCAGGAGCUCGAUUUUUCUUCCGCUUCUCCUUCUAACCCGUGCCCUCGGUCAGGCACCGGUCGGAAGCUCCUUCGUCCGUGCGCAUGUAUUUGUACACGCGCUCCAGCAACUCGGCAUACGUCCGGGAGAGGGUCUUGUCCAAGGAAUAGGUGAACUGGGAUCCCCUUAGCCCCC
rnacentral:lncRNA from 1 species